rnacentral:rRNA from 1 species
UCAGGAUGAACGCUGGCGGCGUGCCUAACACAUGCAAGUCGAGCGAUUACUUCGGUAAAGAGCGGCGGACGGGUGAGUAACGCGUGGGUAACCUGCCUCAUACACAUGGAUAACAUACCGAAAGGUAUGCUAAUACAAGAUAAUAUAAGAGAUUCACAUGGAUUUCUUAUCAAAGCUCCGGCGGUAUGAGAUGGACCCGCGUCUGAUUAGCUAGUUGGUAAGGUAAUGGCUUACCAAGGCGACGAUCAGUAGCCGACCUGAGAGGGUGAUCGGCCACAUUGGAACUGAGACACGGUCCAAACUCCUACGGGAGGCAGCAGUGGGGAAUAUUGCACAAUGGGCGAAAGCCUGAUGCAAGCAACGCCGCGUGAGUGAUGAAGGCCUUCGGGUCGUAAAACUCUGUCCUCAAGGAAGAUAAUGACGGUACUUGAGGAGGAAGCCCCGGCUAACUACGUGCCAGCAGCAGC